GGACAGAUGGCCGAGCUGGUUAUGGCGCCAGGUUAAGGUUUGAUUAUCGUUUCCUGGUCACGAAAGUGGCGUGGGUUCGAGUCCCACUCUGUUCA
rnacentral:tRNA from 1 species